GACGAACGCUGGCGGCGUGCUUAACACAUGCAAGUCGAACGGUGACGAAUGGAGCUUGCUCUGUUCUGAUCAGUGGCGAACGGGUGAGUAACACGUGAGUAACCUGCCCCUGACUCUGGAAUAACUUCGGGAAACCGAAGCUAAUACCGGAUAUGACACAGAGCCGCAUGGUUUCUGUGUGGAAAGUUUUUCGGUUGGGGAUGGACUCGCGGCCUAUCAGCUUGUUGGUGAGGUAAUGGCUCACCAAGGCGACGACGGGUAGCCGGCCUGAGAGGGCGACCGGCCACACUGGGACUGAGACACGGCCCAGACUCCUACGGGAGGCAGCAGUGGGGAAUAUUGCACAAUGGGCGAAAGCCUGAUGCAGCGACGCCGCGUGAGGGAUGAAGGCCUUCGGUUGUAAACCUCUUUCAGUAGGAAGAAGCGCAAGUGACGGUACCUACAGAAGAAGCACCGGCUAACUACGUGCCAGCAGCCGCGGUAAUCUAGUCU
rnacentral:rRNA from 1 species